AGUCUGUUUCCAGAUCCUGCCUAUUGUGUGAUCAUGAUUGAGGGUUUUAUUUCCAAGUUCAGUUUAGCCACUGUACCACAUAGCCCUGUUGUUCUUACAGGAAGGCAUUUUGUGCUUCUCUUUGGAAGCCCCUUAUCACUACCAUCUCUGCUGUGGUGCUUUGGGAUUAUUGCUGACUAAAGGCAGGUUACCUGAAGACAAGGAUUGUGAUGCCAUGACAGAGACCCCUGUGAGCUGAGGGUGAAGAGUGUAGACCAACCAUUCCUUCCAAAGGAUGAACACUGUAGGCUUGACCAAGAAAUAGGAAACAAGAUUUUCCUACCAGAGAUUUGGUUCCCUUCUAAAAACCAUGAAUUCUGUUUUUCUGAAAUCUCAGGAAGCAAACCUGAACACCUCUCCCCAUUUUUAAAACCGUGGAUUUCCAACAUAUGUUCCUACCAACUGUUCUGAGAACUACAGUGGCUUCGCUGGGCUGUGGCCACUUGCUCUGUUUGAAUACUCUGUGGAAAGCCAGUUGCUGAGACCUUGAGUUUAGAGGUGAGUGAUGAAUGGCUCUUGCAGUUCUGUUGAAGGAUCCUAAACAUUCCCUUCUUUGCCUGCAACAGUGAUAGCCAGGAGCUGCUUCUCUAGCACCCUGAAGCUCAGAGACAGUCACAACGGAGGUUCUUUGUGCAUUGUGGUCACAGCAUCUAUCAAGUAACAAGCCAGGAUGGACUAAGCUACUGAAGAGAGAUCAUGUGUGCUUCAAUAGCACUGAGUGGGAACCCAGCUUGUCAGACCAUGCUAAUCCUCAGAGCAAGGCUUUUUUUCAUAGGACUGAGAGCAGCACUGUGGGGAUGGCAGUGAGUGUAAGGGGUGGUCCAUGAUGCUACAUGCUCUCUUCUGUGUUUCUCCUUCUAUCUACCAUUUUGUUUUUAUCUUAUGUCUUGUGGAUAGUUAAUGGAAAGUGAAGAACCCAUGGACUUCAGUGAUGUUUGAUGUUCAAAACAAAAAUGACCUUCCCUCACAUUUACGCACCAUUCCUUGUUGUUUCUCUGUCUCUAUAGACUACAGCUGAUGAACUGAAGUACACUGAAUUUCUAAAUAAGUAAAAAAUACAGGAAGGGUAUGAAGUGCCAAAUGAUUUGAUUUUUGCCAAUGGAAGAGUUCAUUCAUCCACUUCCACAGAAGAACAGCUGUGUCCACAAAGUGAUUUGAGCUCCUAGUUUGAAAAAUAUAUUUAAAUAAUUGAACAAAUAUACAAGUAUACAAAUAUAUAAAGCCCAUGGCUAAACUUCAUACUUGCAUUUUGCUUUUUACUGUGAAGGACUCAAUAGUUUUUGAAAGAAAUUUCCUUGGACCAUGUGUUAUUGAAAUGUUUGGGAUGCAAAUGUUUUGCUAAGUUUAUAUAUGCAUUAGCAGUUGGGCCACUUUAGGACCUCGGACAAGUUAAUUAAAGUAUAUAAAGUGGUUUUCUUUUGUACUAUAAGGAAAUGCCAUCUAGCUAUUAAUAAGUUUGGUUAAAUAAAAUAAGGAAAAUGGCUAUACAACUGUGUGUUCUACACAAUCUGCACACACUUAUGCUACCAUUUUCCAGUAAGCUUCUGUUUUCACAUCAACCUUCUCACACACCUCCCUCUUCCCAAAUCAGCACAAGUACCUGAGAAGAAUGCAAUGGGCGAGGCUGACAGUGAGUCAGGCUGCAGUGGGUGUUGCUGUAACAGAGGCAUUCAUCAGCAUCACUGUGGUUGAGAAUGCACAUUUAGCUGUGGUUGAAUUGUUCACAUCAAAACAAAAUCUCAUCUGUAUUACAGAAACUCGGCUGUGUUGGGCUUUGAACAUAAUCCAAGACACUGAAGAUAGGAACAGAAUUGGGCAUUUGGAGAAACCCGAGUGAGAAAGGCGUUCUUCAUUUUUCUGUGCUUAUCUGCCUCAAAGGGUGCUCUGAUUUUGCUAAUUGCUCAGAGAGCGCUUCGAUUUGCUAUUUUCUGCAAACAGUAUUCUAAUCCAGUUUAGCUUCUGGUUUGCAGCUGUGUUCAAGUGGCCUAAUAGGUUUGCUGCAUGCCGCACUACAUUGCAAUUAAUUCACUGGGUUCCUCAUGUGAAAUGAUUUACACCUAUUUAGAACUAAAUUGGAAGCCAUUCCACCAUUGCAUCUGAAGUCAUUAACACAGCUUUUAAACGACAUUAAUAUGCACUUAAUCCUUUUCAGAUAAGGAUCUCAAAGCACUCUGAGUUCAUUAUCAUUAAUGUGGGAGAGAGAAUUGAAAGCUGUAUUCAGAAGUGACUUUGAAAGACAGGAAAUAAAUAAAAAUGCAUUUAAAAC